UCCCCAACAUUCCCUCUCAUGCGGCUCAUGCAAUCCCCCCAAGGGCGGCGGAAAGCCCUCCAAGAAACCCCCUGUACACAUCCCUAAGCUACCGGUUCCUCCAGUGACCGUCCCUAAGCUACCCGUUCCUCCGGUGACAGUCCCAAAGCUACCAGUUCCUCCGGUGACAGUCCCAAAGCUACCAGUUCCUCCAGUGACCGUCCCAAAGCUACCCGUCCCUCCAGUGACUGUCCCUAAGCUACCCGUUCCCCCGGUGACCGUCCCAAAGCUACCAGUUCCUCCAGUGACCGUCCCUAAGCUACCAGUUCCCCCGGUGACAGUCCCUAAGUUACCUCUUCCUCCAGUGUCAGGGCUACCCAUACCUCCAGUGGUAGGCCCAAAUCUGCCAUUGCCACCUUUGCCAAUUGUUGGUCCUAUCCUUCCACCCGGGACAAACCCACCCGCCCCAGGAGGUGGAGAUUGUCCUCCACCUCCAGGGGGCGAUAAGGCUACAUG
rnacentral:lncRNA from 1 species